UUAUUUGCAGGAUUGAGACCACAAUAGGAGGCAUAAAGUCCCUUGAUAAUUUUGAAAACAGAGACGUUAUAGUGAGGUCCACGUUAUAAUGGCAGUGGAGGAAACUAGGAGAACAACGUUGCCAAUUAUCUGCCUUGCCACUGCCUUCUGAAGAGGAUAGCUUGGUCAAUUUUACCACCAACUUUGGUCAAUAUCUAUUGUUAGUUCCUAAAGGCUCUGAAAAUUAUGAAAUGGAACAAAUUAUUUGGACAAGACACUAGAAAAAUUCUACUCGGUCGGUUUUGAAAUCAUACCUCAAGAAACUUGCGAGAUCUUCGUCUGCACUGCACUAGCAUUUCAGCCAUUGGUGAUAAGAUGCUAAAAAAACCAUGCCAUUGGCGGUAUUCGAACCAACAACGAGCACAACGCAGCCAUAGCAGCUGCUUGAGGCCGGAUUGUAUUU